GACGAACGCUGGCGGCGUGCUUAACACAUGCAAGUCGAGCGGAAAGGCCCUGCUUUUGUGGGGUGCUCGAGUGGCGAACGGGUGAGUAACACGUGAGUAACCUGCCCUUGACUUUGGGAUAACUUCAGGAAACUGGGGCUAAUACCGGAUAGGAGCUCCUGCUGCAUGGUGGGGGUUGGAAAGUUUCGGCGGUUGGGGAUGGACUCGCGGCUUAUCAGCUUGUUGGUGGAGUAGUGGCUUACCAAGGCUUUGACGGGUAGCCGGCCUGAGAGGGUGACCGGCCACAUUGGGACUGAGAUACGGCCCAGACUCCUACGGGAGGCAGCAGUGGGGAAUAUUGCACAAUGGGCGGAAGCCUGAUGCAGCAACGCCGCGUGCGGGAUGACGGCCUUCGGGUUGUAAACCGCUUUCGCCUGUGACGAAGCGUGAGUGACGGUAAUGGGUAAAGAAGCACCGGCUAACUACGUG
rnacentral:rRNA from 1 species